GACGAACGCUGGCGGCGUGCUUAACACAUGCAAGUCGAACGGAAAGGCCCUGCGUUUGUGGGGUGCUCGAGUGGCGAACGGGUGAGUAACACGUGAGUAACCUGCCCUUGACUUUGGGAUAACUUCAGGAAACUGGGGCUAAUACCGGAUAGGAGCUCCUGCUGCAUGGUGGGGGUUGGAAAGUUUCGGCGGUCGGGGAUGGAUUCGCGGCUUAUCAGCUUGUUGGUGGGGUAGUGGCUUACCAAGGCUUUGACGGGUAGCCGGCCUGAGAGGGUGACCGGGGACAAUAGGACUGAGAUAGGGAGCAGACUCCUAUGGGAGGCAGCAGGGGGGAGUAUUGCACAAUGGGAGGACGCCUGAUGCGAGGACGCCGCGUGCGGGAUGACGGCCUGCGGGUUGUGAACCGCUUUAGGCUGUGACGAAGCGGGUGUGACGGUAAUGGGUAAAGAAGCACCGGCUAACUACGUG
rnacentral:rRNA from 1 species